rnacentral:tRNA from 1 species
GGCAGCGUAGCUCAGCUGGUUAGAGCGCGGCACUCAUAAUGCCGAGGUCGGCGGUUCGAGCCCGCCCGCUGCUACCA